rnacentral:rRNA from 1 species
GCUUUUUGUUUUUUAAAAGUUUGUUCUGCUCGGUGAUUUUUAACAGCCGCGGUACUUUGACCGUGCAAAGGUAGCAUAAUCACUUGCCUCGUAAUUGGGGGCUGGAAUGAAUGAAUUAACAAAGGCUUAACUUUAUUUUUUAGAUUAAAGGAAUUUUCUUUUUUAGUGAAGAAGCUAAAAUUGUAAAAGGGACAAGAAGACCCUUUUGAGCUUUACUAUAUUUUUUUUUAGGAUUUUUUAGUUUGGUUGGGGCGACCAAGGAAGAUCUUCCUUAUUAUUUUGAUCCGUUUAUAACGAUUAAAAGAAUAAGUUACCAAAGGGAUAACAGCGUAAUUUUUUUUGAGAGUUCUUAUUAAAUAAAGUGAUUGCGACCUCGAUGU